AGUGUAGUCAAGACCUAGUUAUGAAGCACCUGAGGAUAUCUAAUCCUUUCCAUUUUGCUGCUAUAUUCUUAUUAACUUGUUCCUAAUAACUUACUUGAAGCUGUUUCUUCCAAGACGGUCAAUUGGUACCUUGCUGGGAAUGCAUAUCCCCAGAGACAGGGGUAUAGUGGAGGUGUUUGUAGGUUUGCACACUAUACACUAUCUCUACAUUUAUCUAGAGAGCUGUGUGAUGAAGCUUGGUUGAGGACAGGACGUUCUUUAGCACAAGUAAUGAAAUGCCAGUCAAUGUAUGCACUUGUGUAACGCUUACUGUAUGUUUCUACUGAUAUCUGCAGAACUUGGAUACAACAUUCUUUACCACAAGUUAUUGAGAGUAUUGGUCUUUUUUUUAAAUUGCCCCAGGAUUUUCACUGGUGCCUGUUGGGAGCAAUUCCUUACACCACCUCAGUGCAGUAUCUUGAAAUGAUGUAACAAAACCUGUACCACUAACCUGCCUCAGACGGGUGGCCUGGGUCCUGCAGACUCUUAACAGCAGCGCCUUGUAACUGAACAGUAGCCAGUUUGAGCUCAUGAUGUACAUUUUAGUGGCCAGGACUUCAAAGGGGCCAUAUGCAGUGUAUUUCUGGAAAAUUUCUGUCCAGCACAUCCACACACCACAUAUUGAAGAUCCUGGUGCAGGCUGUGGUGGAAGGGCUUGAGGAUUGCAGAGGGGGGGGCAGGCCUCUGCACUGAAGGGGAAACUCCAGGAGCUGUUUGGACAAGUGACCUCCAAAGCCACCGGCGAUGGGGAGAUCUGGAGGUGCUGCAGUUCUUGGCUAAAGCUCAAAACUGUGAAGCACAGGCCAGUGGAUGGGAGAAAAAUAUUGACUCCUUCAAAGAAGUAAUGAAGGGAGCGAUAGAACUAACACAUGUGUCGAUUAGCUGCAGCAAAAGCAAAUCUACCCCCCAGGAAGCAGUGCUGAUGCUUUUGUUGGCUCGUCUCAGCCUACGCAGUUUAUCAUCUAAAGCAAAGCAAAUGUACACAGAUGUAGCCUCUGAGGAGAUUCGCCGGGACCUACCCUGGAAUACUUGAUAAUAGAACUUCAGGAGAUGACUUCCGAGUUGAGGAACUCCUACAACAACAAAAAAAAUCAUGUGCCUGAGGAUUACAUUAACUGACCAAAACCAUUUUUUAUAUAAUUAUAUAUUGCAAGCCCCCUGUGAAUUAAAUACCCCUUUGCUUAGCUGCUGUACUUAGCUGCUGUUGUAUUAUUAUAAAAAAACUAUGAAUGUAUUUUUUUAAUACUGUUACACACAAAGUAUGCAGAUACUUCUCCUUUGUUCUCCUUUAACUCACUCAACACAUACUGUACAAAUAGCUUGUUUCUUCCAAAAGUGUUGUGAAUCAGGUGCAGAAAUUUUAAAAGUUGUCAGCUGCCGAAAAGCCAACAAUAAACAUUUGUAAUUUGAUAUUUAAAAAACAAAAAAACAACAGACUUUAUUAUAGACAUUA